rfam:Triticum aestivum genome assembly, contig: Triticum_aestivum_CS42_TGACv1_scaffold_161334_2DL
AAAGUACUCCCUCCGUCCCAAAAUUCUUGUCUUAGAUUUGUCCAGAUACGGAUGUAUCAAGUCACAUUUUAGUAUUAGAUACAUCCGUAUCUAGACAAAUCUAAGACAAGAAAUUUGGGACAGAGGGAGUAGUUG